UUUUAUCGGAGAGUUUGAUCCUGGCUCAGGACGAACGCUGGCGGCGUGCCUAAUACAUGCAAGUCGAGCGGACAGAUGGGAGCUUGCUCCCUGAUGUUAGCGGCGGACGGGUGAGUAACACGUGGGUAACCUGCCUGUAAGACUGGGAUAACUCCGGGAAACCGGGGCUAAUACCGGAUGCUUGUUUGAACCGCAUGGUUCAAACAUAAAAGGUGGCUUCGGCUACCACUUACAGAUGGACCCGCGGCGCAUUAGCUAGUUGGUGAGGUAAUGGCUCACCAAGGCA
rnacentral:rRNA from 1 species